GAUGAACGCUGGCGGCGUGCCUAACACAUGCAAGUCGAGCGAUUUACUUCGGUAAAGAGCGGCGGACGGGUGAGUAACGCGUGGGUAACCUGCCCUGUACACACGGAUAACAUACCGAAAGGUAUGCUAAUACGAGAUAAAAUACUUUUAUCGCAUGGUAGAAGUAUCAAAGCUUUAGCGGUACAGGAUGGACCCGCGUCUGAUUAGCUAGUUGGUAAGGUAACGGCUUACCAAGGCGACGAUCAGUAGCCGACCUGAGAGGGUGAUCGGCCACAUUGGAACUGAGACACGGUCCAAACUCCUACGGGAGGCAGCAGUGGGGAAUAUUGCACAAUGGGCGAAAGCCUGAUGCAGCAACGCCGCGUGAGCGAUGAAGGCCUUCGGGUCGUAAAGCUCUGUCCUCAAGGAAGAUAAUGACGGUACUGAG
rnacentral:rRNA from 1 species